AGACUGGGUGACCGCCGCCCCGAUUCGUCGAGGGGGAGGAAAGUCCGGGCUCCUCUGGGCAGGGUGCUGGGUAACUCCCAGGUCCCGGCUUCGGCCGGGAACGGAAAGUGGCACAGAAACAUACCGCCCCGAUUCGUUGGGGCAAGGGUGAAAUCGGACGGUAAGAGCGUCCGGCUGUCUGCGGUGACGCAGCGGCGGCUAAACCCCACCUGGAGCAAGGCCAAAUAGGGGGACACAGGCGCCCGGCCCGUCCCCGGGUUGGCUGCUUGACCGCGGCGGCAACGUCGCUCCGCCAAAAGCGGACUUCCCGGCUUCACCGCCGGGCAAGGGCUAGAUAGAUGGUCACCGUUCUUCCUCAACCGAAGAAUACAAAACCCGGCUUACAGGUCUGC
rnacentral:RNase_P_RNA from 1 species